CGCCCAGAAAGAAGAGAAGAGAAGAGGAAGGGAGGGAGAGAGAGAAAGAAAACCUAGGUUGUGUGAUUUUCAACCGAUUGGAGCGAUUCAAAAGCCUAAAUCACUUAGAAUCUUCCCCUCUUUCAUAAUCCUAACUUUGUUUUGAGUGGGGAGCAUUGUGGAGAGGGAUAUUGGCUCUCAAAAAUUCGGCCCUUUGGUGAAAAUUGGGGUUUUGAGAGUUUCUACCUCCAUUGAAGCUUGAGGAGCCAUCAAUCCUUGGUUGUGUGACCAUUGGUGGAUUGAGACAUUUGGACCAACCGUGAGUGAUCAACCAUUGGAGCAAGCUAUGGAGCUUGAAUAGCUCAUUGGAAUUGGUGUAUGUUUGUAAAAGUUGAUUGCUGAAACUGUUGGUGAAGAACAAAGGUUGACUGAAGCAUUGAGGUAAGGAUGCUGCAGGAGCCUCUGGUGGCAAGUGGCCAUACCUAGAUUAUGCAUGAAAUAUGGCACUUCUUUGAGUUUAUGCAUGCCUUUUGUAGUUGACAUGUAUAGGAUUUUAUUUUGAAAGCCCAUGAUCAUUUGUAUAUCUUGAUUCAUUGGAUGAACUUAGCCUAUGCUCAUGCCUUUGGUUACACCUUUUGUUGAU